rnacentral:rRNA from 1 species
CCUACGGGUGGCAGCAGUGAGGAAUAUUUGUCAAUGGGCGAGAGCCUGAACCAGCGAAGCCGCGUGAAGGAUGAAGGAUCUAUGGUUUGUAAACUUCUGUUAUAUGGGAAUAAAGUGAGAAACGUGUUCCUUUUUGUAUGUACCAUAUGAAUAAGCAUCGGCUAACUCCGUGCCAGCAGCCGCGGUAAUACGGAGGAUGCGAGCGUUAUCCGGAUUUAUUGGGUUUAAAGGGUGCGUAGGUGGUUAAUUAAGUCAGCGGUGAAAGUUUGUGGCUCAACCAUAAAAUUCCCGUUGAAACUGGUUGACUUGAGUAUAGGUGAGGUAGGCGGAAUGCGUGGUGUAGCAGUGAAAUGCAUAGAUAUCGCGAGGAACUCCGAUGGCGAAGGCAGCUUACUAAACUAUAACUGACACUGAAGCACGAAGGCGUGGGGAUCAAACAGGAUUAGAUACCCGUGUAGUC